rnacentral:rRNA from 1 species
UACGUAGGGACCAAGCGUUGUUCGGAUUUACUGGGCGUAAAGGGCGUGCAGGCGGUCUGUUAAGUGCAGGGUGAAAGCUCCCGGCUCAACUGGGAGAGGUCCUUGCAUACUGGCGGACUUGAGGGGGGUAGAGGAAAGUGGAAUUCCCGGUGUAGUGGUGAUAUGCGUAGAUAUCGGGAGGAACACCUGUGGCGAAGGCGGCUUUCUGGGCCCUACCUGACGCUGAGACGCGAAAGCGUGGGGAGCGAACCGG